rnacentral:lncRNA from 1 species
UGUAGUCAUUCUGUCUCUCCCAUCUUCCCAUCUGCCUCCUUGUACCUUUGUACAUACCACCUUCCUGCUCCCACCUUAUUCAUAAAUCAAUUAUAUUAUUUCAGCAAUUUUUCUAGAGUCGGUGUCUGGCUUUCCAUUCCUGGAGGAGGUUAUAUAUCUACAUUUGAGUUCAUGUCUCCACAAUAAAUAUUAUAAACAGUUCAUUCUCCCAAAAUCCCAAGAGAAAGAGGGGGAAGAAAAAGGCCAACAGAGAAAAAGGUCAGUGACAAGGACAUUUUACUAAAUAAGAAAAAGAUUUAAAAGAAAAGUCAGCCACCAUCCACUUGGGUGGUAUAUGUGAUUAUCAAAUUGAGUAUGACUUCAGGUGACACAUUGGCAGUAAUUUAGAUGGUUUGAAUAGAAAUAUAUAAAAUAAGUUUUAAG